AUACCUCCUGACGCCCUCCUCCCCAUCUCCGAUUCCUCCUCCGCCCGCGAUUCCUUCUCUCCUCGCCGCAUCACCGUCCCCGUGCCCUUCUCCAAACUCCGCCAUCCCCGUCCCGUACUCCCUCCCUUGGAAAAGAUCAAUUGGAGGAGUAAUUCCGGCUUCAUCCGGCGGUGGCGAUGCCGGAAAAGAUCGAUUUUUUUUCGACGGGAGGAGUAAUUCCGGAUUGAUCCGGUGGUGCCGAUGCCGGAUCCUGCGACGGCGCCGACGCGAGCCACCAAGGGCCGUGGACUCCCUCUCCGGCUGCGAUUCCGCCAAACCCUGUCGUCUCGGCGUCCCAGCGACCAUCUCCGAGGCGGAUAAAAUCGUUUCUUUCGGUAGCAGCCCGAGGAGAAGGCCCGGACAAAUCCUCGGAGCAGUAAGCCCGCCGCUCCAGCACCUUUCCUCACCGCCGUCGUCAUCAAGAUCACAAGAGCAGGACUCUUUGGACGGUGCUGAAGAUUGACCGGUUGGAGUCUAUUGAUUUGGGUAUCCAGGAGUAUCCUACUAGUUACACGGAGAAUUGAUUGUCAAGAACUAAUUUGGCGGAUUCACGAGGGAAAUAGGUUUUCUGAAGUUUCUUGGUCCUUACUACAUGGUUCCAAUUACCAGGAGAAGAAAAGUUGGCAGAAUCUGUGGUCAUUAUAUUUUUAUUCAAUUGGAAAGAGUGAAAUGGUUGCAAUAGAAAUCUGCAUUUAAGUCUUCAGCUCUCAUAUUCUUUUUGUGGUUUAUUUAUUUAUACACUCAGAGAGAGGACUGGUUAGCUUAGGCCAUCGGAGUAUCUGUUUGAUUGAUGUGAUGAAUUUCAAUUCUGCCUUGGAGUAUUUAUUUAUUGAGCUUUACCUGUCUUUUUCUCAGGUUCUCUUGGUGGUCGGAAUUUUGCAAGGUGAAGUUGGUCCUAUGAUUUCUGUCAUGAAAAUUGAAAUGACACGUUUGGAGUCUUGUUCGGAUGUCGGUGGUUUACAUGUUCCAAUUCAAGAUAUUAAAGAACCAGUUGAACUUCCCAAGCUAUAUGAGGACAUUGGAUUUAGGCCUCUCAAGGUAGUCAUACUGUAUGGGGAACAGGGAAAGCUCUACCUGCAAAGCUCGGAAGGUGGAUUAGCUGGGGGAGGAACCAAGAAGCUUUAGGCCCAAGAACUUCGUGUGGACCAUGACCUCCUCAGUGUUGCCAAGGUCAGCAGCGAUGCCCUCGAUAGGACGUGGAACCACAAGACAUAUCAGA